ensembl:lncRNA
GGGAGGGAGGGAAUCAUAAUAGUUAUUUUUGUUUAUUUGUACAUUGUUAUUGUAAUUUUUUUAUUUUUUUUUUUUUAUUUGUACAUGGUUAUUCAUAGUAUUUUUACUAUUUCAGUUUUGGUGUUUAUACCAUUGCAGUUUUCACUUUUUAAGUAAAAAUAAUGGCAGAAAAACUUUUUUAGCCUUAUUUUGUCACAAUUGCAUAGGCGAAUAGCUAAAAAUUGCAAUUGUGUGAUUUUGCCUGCCUCAUUACAUAUCAGAACAUCUGGUAUGCUAUCUAAAUGGUUCACAAGAAAGCCCAGAGGGUAACCUUUCAUUUGCGACCAAGAUUAUGCUUCUAUAUGUUUGGGUCCACUUUUGUUUACAGUAUGCAUUUUGGGUAGCCAAAGGUCUUUUUUGAAGUCUCCAAAUGGACCUUGAACAAAACGAAUGGACAUAUCAUUACAUGAAAGGAGCUUGAGACUUCAUCUUUUAUGCUUUGUUGAUCUGCUUUUGCACACAGCAUCACAAGACCUAGGGCUAGGGCUCAGUAGUGAUUCAAAGGGAUAUGGAGUUACUCAGGGUACUACAAUCAGCUUGGUUUUAGAGGUGUGUGUGUGUGUGUGUGUGCGUGUAACCUGCUGGAAGGAAAAACAAUAUUGUAGCCUUCCCAGCACUGACGGUACAUGAUAGUUAUUCUGAUAAUGUUAAACAAUUCUACAGCUUCUCAGCUUUCUAAAGAGUUCAAGCAUGUGAUUAGAGGUCAUACUACGAAUGAGCAGUGCUCUCUAGAGUAGGCUCAGUGCAAAAACAAAAAAAUGGCCCAAAGACUAAGUGGUUAAAGUGAGAUGCUUAUACGUCAGAGCAGCCGGGAAUAGCUCACGUGAGCAACGUCCAGCUGCUCCAGGAUUUCCUGCGACCAGCCAACCACCUUUUUUGCCGCUGGAGGGGCACUGAAGGCAUUCUGUGGACAUGUAGUACCACCCGCUCCUGUCCGAGACCCUCCGGACGAUCUUGUAGAGGCCGGCGCCCAUCAGCUUGCCCCCAUCGGCGGGGCACUUGAGGUGGCACGCCCACAUCCGAUAGGGCAGCCAGAGGAAGAACGGGCGCUGGAAGAAGGCGUGGGCUGUGGCGGGGGGCUGCGUGUAGAGGAGCCUGGCCCCUGGCGGGUACCACCUCAGUCGGGGCGGUGUGGUGAGGACAGCCAUCCCGCUGCUGGGGUCCCUGUGGAACAGGCCCACCCACUCCUGCUGCUCUUCAGGCAGCGUCUUCCUCCAGAUGAGGGGAUGCAGCAGAAACACACCGACACACCUACUCUGACCCCACCGACGCCCAACAGCUCGCCGCUGCCGACGAGGUCGACCCUCCCAGCACGUCCAGGGACGCCCCCGCCGGCCACGCUGGAAGGACCAGCACCAGGACCAGGACCGAUGGCCACGAGGCCUGCUACCGGAAAAGAGCUGAUCCCCCUCAGCUGGCGGCAGACGCUGCCUGAAGAGCAGCAGGAGGGGGUGGGCCGGGCGCAGGGACCCCAGCAGCCGGAAGGUGGACCUCACCACACUCCCUCGCCAUGAAGCGGCCGUAGAGCUGUCGGUGGGGACCCCCCUCGCGAAGCGUCGCAUGAGGUGCCACACGUCCAGCCGCACCACCAGCUCGUGCAACUCGUGGUACAUCCCCUGCACGGCCGACUGGCCCACGGCGGCACAGCAGUCCCGGUCCACGUACAGGACCCUCGGAGGGGCCUUCCCGGUACAGCCGCAUCAGGCAGGCCGGCAUGUUGGUCAGUCCCUCCCCCUCGGCCGAGGUGAGAACGGACACGAGCACCUGCCCGUACUCGUUGCCAACGUUCGUCAUCCAGGCGGCCGAGCCGGCGGCGGCGCCCGCAAGCUUUUUGGCAAUCUGCAAGACACAAUCACAUAUUUAGACACACGGACGGACGCCCCACAGACGUGAUACGAGGUGACGGCCCACAAAGAGAGAAACCUCACGUAGCCUCCUCACCGUCUCAGGCUCUCCGCACCAGGGAUACCAGUGUGGCCUGGCUUCGCUGCCAUGAAUGCCCCGUCCCUGUAGCAGGGAGGGUAAACUACUCGGCUGGCUGAGUUAUGGCUCGAACGUUCUUACCCGUGUACUCCCUGGGCUUGGUGUAAUCCCUGACCAAACUCGAGCCAAGCCCCCGUUGGCUGAGCUGGUCCAGGGAGUGCUGCGGGGGGCCACUGGAGGUGGGCCCCAGCGGGCGACCCUCCUGGGCCGCGACGGUGGUGGCGCUGGUGGUGUUGGCGACGGUGGUGGCGACGGUGGUGGGUGACGGUGGUGUUGGCGCUGGUGGUGUUGUUGGUGCUGGUGUUGGCGCCGGCGCUGGUGGUGUUGGCGCGGGUGGUGUUGGCGCUGGUGGUGUUGGAGCAGGUGGUGGCGAAAGAUGGACAUUACAAUUACAAUCGGGGCAUUUAGCAGAUGCUUUUACUCAAAGCGACUUGCAUCGAUUAAUACACACAUUGCACACCGACGGCAGAGUCAACCAUGCAAGGCGACAGCCAGCUCGUCAGGAGCAGUUAGGGUUAAGUGUCUGGCUCAGGGACACAUCAACACUCAGCUAGGAGGAGCUGGGGAUCAAACUAGCAAUCUUUCGGUUACAAGACAACUGCUCUUCCUCCUGAGCCGACCCCGACAUGACAGUGAAACACGUGGUUUACCUGGAAUGAAGCGGUUGAGAUGCAGAUGGAACGACUCCAGGGACGUGGAGCCUCGCGCACAACGGUACGUCAGCAGGCUGAUCCCCCCCCGUCGGCCUGCCUGUCUCUGUGUACAGCUCCACUCCCGGAGGGUCCUGGUUGCACUGGUGGUUCCGCCGCUGCUCCGUGGCGAUGGAGAGCCAUCUCCCUGCGGCUGACGUGCCUCCACACUCCGGCGUCAGACGUGAAGGUCAUCCCCUGGGCCUCAAGCGUCCUCCUGUUGGCGUUGAGCAAACCGGGCUGUGUCCUCUGGGUCCCACAGGAAGAUACUGGCAGAGCUGGUGGCUCUCGGUACUGACAACCGACGCGCAGCGUCGCAUCAGGUGCCAGAUGUCCAGCCGGACCACCAGCUAUUCGACCAGAUAGCUUAAUUUAUUUCGAGCUUGACUUCCAGCGAUCUGAAUUGUCAAAAAAAUAAUAAUAAUCGAGAGAUAUAUAUUUGAAGAGAUCUGAUUGGUCGAAGAAAAAAUAUGAAAAAAUAGAUCUGAUUGGUCGAAAUUUAAUAAUUUUUCUACAUUUGUCUUCCAUUUCUUCCCCAUGCCAUAAAGAAACAAACAUAAUAACUGGUAGAAAAAAAGUCGAGAUAUUUGAUUGGUCAGCAAAACUAUUUGAGGGAACUGAUUAGGGGGGAAAAACUUUUUCUAGUGAUAUGAUUGGUCGAAAUAAUACAAUUAUUUCGAGAGCUCUGAUUGGUUGAAUAAAUGAAUUAAUUUUGAGCGACGUGGUUGAAAAUUAAUGAUGGGUCGAAAAAUUUAUAAUUUCUAGGAACUGAUUGGUCGAAAAAUAUUUAUUUUCAGCGACCUGAUUGGUUGAGAACUAUUUAUUUCAAGUAGGGAUGCACCGAUAUGAAAAUUUUGACCGAUAUCCGAUAUUAAAAUUGCUGUUACGGCCGAUAACCGAUAUUUACCGAUAUCGAUAUUGGUAUAAAAACAAGUUUCUAUGAUGAUUUUGUAUACUGAAGAACAUGUAAACACUGUGAAUAUGAAAAAGUUAUUUCUUUCUUUAUUUUCCAAAACUUCGAAAUACAUUGUUUCUUCAACAAGUUACAGGGCAUCCAUAACAAACACAAGUUACUAACAGGGUUAGUUUUAGGCUACUUUUACAACUUGCAUCUAUGAAAAAGUUUGGAUCAUAAAUCACAAUAACGAUCACAAAUCAAAAUAUCUUGACAAGGUUUUAUAAUUUAAAUCAAAUUUGCCAAUAUUCAUGGAAACCAGACACCUGUCUAAUAAUUUACAAAAAGUGUUUCAAGUUUGUCAAUUUCAACUCAAAUCUGUGAGAUAGGCUAAAUCAAAUAAAUCAAGGAAGGUUGGUUGUUGUCUUUUCACUCGGUUAUAGCCCUACUGUUGAUCCGGAGAACGGAGCGAAAAGACUACUACCAAAUAUAAACAUCCGGUUUCUGUUUCAAUGCGAUUACGGAACGCCAAAUAAAACACAACAGAAACUAUUUCGCUACGAUACUUGAUUAGAUUAGAUUUCUUUAUUGUCCUUGUUCAACAGAGUUAAUCAACAAAAUUAAGUUUAGAACAUUGAUGUUGUUAAUACCGGAAUUGUCCUUUAAACAUGCGCUGAUCACGUGAACGCACAACUUUUUUUUUUAUCAGCCGAUCCGCGGAUCACUUGCGUCCCGAACUGUGAGGGUUGAUCCGUACGGAUCACGGGAAACCCGUGAACCGUUUGCACCACUAGUGGUGUUGAAUGAUUUGACACGGCAUCCUCCGUGCAUUACUACGGCUUUGCAAGUACUGCAUAUUGCAAUUUGAGUACCUUCAUUUGAGACCGUAAAAAACAUCCAAACCGCCGACAUUGAUUCUUUUCAGUUAAGGUGACAAACACUCCUGUACUGCCUCUGUGCGUCUCUGGCUGCGUCACUGACACUGUCACAUGACCAAACAAGCUGCGCAUAGGCAAAAGACACGGCAACUAGAUGGAAAUAAAUAUCGGCUGUUAAUAUCGGACCAGUUUUACUUAUCGGGCCGAUGCCGAUAUGUUAAAAAAUGACAUCAUCGGCAUAACAAUAUCACUGCCAAUAUAUCGUGCAUCCCUAAUUUCAAGCGAUCUGAAUAGUUACAAAAAUAAUUCAUAUAUUUUGAGCUUUAUUGGUCGAAUGUUCUUUACAACGAUCUGAAUGUUCUAAAAAAUAUUCAGAGCAGGGGUCAGCAAUCCCUGGCACGCGUGCCACCCCUGGCAUGUGGCAGCAUAAUCAUUUGCACACUUGGGGAAAAAAAUAACUUAUUUUUUUAUUUUAUUAAUAAAAAAAUUCCCGCACAUCAUUCCUACCGAUUUUUUUUUUUGCACUUCAUUCUGUUUUGGGCAUUGACUCCCAGUGCAAAUAUGUUUAAAUUAGUUGCUGAAAGUAGUAUUCUGAAAUGGGAUCAAUUAAUAGUGUUUAAACCUAUGUUGUGAGUAAUAGACAAGUAUUUAAAAUAUUGUUGCAAGUGGCCUGUAUGUUUCGCCCUCGCAUGGUUUUGCAAAUCUGUACCUGUCUUAAAGAUAUUGAUGUGGAUGCUUCCAACAACCUCGUAUGCAGCCGAGCUAAAUUUGAUUUUGUUUUAUUUUUGGUCAAUGUUCAUAAUUUUUUGUUUUAUUGUGAACUUCUCCAAAGAUUGGUUCCUGUGUAGGUUGGUUCCACGUUGUUGUUUUCUAUGGCAUGCCUUUUGUUUCCCUUGGGAGUGGUUUGGCGUUACACCUGUGGGUCAAGCUUCAGUUGGUGCUGAUGCACGGAGCUGAGUGGAGAGAGACAUCUUGGAUUGUGUGUGACGCCCGUGUUUCUUUUGUCUCCUUUAAAAUAAAUAAACCUCCAUAACUCGACUCCUGUGUGUGCCUCACUCAACGAAUACCAGACACAACAACGCAGGAACUCAUCGGUUACACAUUCUCGUUUUUUACAUUUCUGACAGUGCAAAUAUGUUUUUGAGU